CUCAACCAGAAGCUGCAGAAAAUGGGUAUGGCAGCCCCUUCUUGGCCCGUUUCGGCCGCCUUCCCGAGCCCGGAUGCUCGGCCCGCUUUGAGGAAAGUUGUUCUCCUCGGCGUCCCCGUCGUUUUGGUCCGCUCGGCUCGCUAAUCCGGUGAGUUUAACUCACUAAAUCUUGAUUAGAGUGUUAAUGAUGCCUUAAGUGUGCUUAGUUUAAAUUAAGUAAGUUUAUGUGGGUGGAUUAGGGUAUUUAAUUAUAAAUUGGAUUAAGAGGUUGGUUUAUGUUAAAGUGUGUUUAAAUUAAAGGUUAAAAGAAGUUAUUUAAAGUUAAGCCUUGAUGUGACAUAAAAAUGAUUUUAGUUUUGAAUUAUUUAAGUGCUUCGAAAUUCUGGAAAAUAUAAUAUUAUUUUAUAAUCCGAAAUUAUUAAAAUAUUAUUAAAAAAAAAUGAAAAAAAUUAUUUUUGACCCCGGUUGCUCAGAAUUUCGUGCCGAUCGCUGCUGUGUAUUCGGAUUUUGAAAUUGAUGGUUGGAUAUCAUAAAUUGACGGUGGAUUACGAAAAAUAUGGAUAUUAUUAUUUAAUUAAUUUUCGGAAUAAAAUUUAUUAUUUAUUAAAAUUCAAAAAUUUCAUCGGGACCCUAAACUCUCAGAAUUUCGUGCUGAUCGCUGCUGUGUAUUUAGAAUUUGAAUUUGAUGAUUGAUUGUGACAAAUUGAGUGUUGAUUGUGAUAAAUAUGGAUUUUAUUCAUAAAAUUCCAAGUGUCGAGUUCGGCAUUGAAAUUGGAUUGUUAAUGGCUAAUAUCAUAAUUGGAUUAUGUGAGUGAAACGUAAAGUAUCCAAGGAUCGAUAUCGAAUUGUCGUGUGCUAGUUGAAAGGCUCGGGUCGCAGUAGUGGCUAGGCCGACUGGAUCCUUAUUCUUCUAGAAAUGCUGUCGAUAGAACGACGUGGCUUGGUCGCAGUAGUGGCGAGACCGACUGGACCUUUAUUUUUCUAGAAAUGCUGUCGAUAGAACGACGUGGCAUGGUCGCAGUAGUGGCGAGAUCGACUGGACCUUUAUUUUUCUAGAAAUGCUGUCGAUAGAACGACGUGGCUUGGUCGCAGUAGUGGCGAGACCGACUGGACCUUUAUUCUUCUAGAAAUGCUGUCAAGAGAAUGACGUGGCUUGGUCGUAGUAGUGGCGAGACCGACUGGACCUUUUAUUCUCCUAGAAAUGCCGUCGAUAGAAUGACGUAGCUUGGUCGCAGUAGUGGCGGGACCGACUGGACCUUUAUUCUUCUUGAAAUGCCGUGAUGUUAAUAGAUAGCCGACCUGUGAGUAGACUAUGCCCUCAUGUGGCAGUGAAUAAUAAUUGGAAUGCGUGCUAAGUGCGAUCGUGAUUUAUAUGAAAGUGAUGGCGUUCCAAUUGUUUGAAUUAUUAUUACUACCUGAGAUUAUGUGAUACAAAUUGUGCUAACCUGCAGAAAGGAAUUGAGGCGAGGUAAGUCCCCUGUGUGAUGUGGCUAGGCUACCCUUGGGCGUAUUUUCUUUCUAAUAGGGGUUUAGGGGAUUGAACUUGCUGAGACGUUGUCUCAGUGGUUAUUGAAUAACCAUUUCAGGUCCCUGGUGGACGGAGCGGCCAGAUAGCUUUGGUUGGCCUUGAGGAGAUGGAGAGGUGAAGUCAUAAGGAUUGGAGAUCGUGUACGACUUGUAGGUCGUAGGACAAUUCAUUUUUAAGAGCCAGUCUUUUGUAGACUUUUGGUCGUAGACCUUUGUUUGUAAUUCUGUUGAAUUAUGGAAGUGUUAUGUUGUGGUUUUGUUUUCUGCUUUUCUAUCCCGUAUUUUAUUGUCAAAGGUUUUAUAAUACGUUCCGCUUGCGCAUAAUAAUUAUAAUAAAAAAAAAUUG
rnacentral:lncRNA from 1 species